UGCUUUGAUGAAGUUUUCGGAUGGAUUUAAACAGCUUAGUGGCGGACGGGUGAGUAACGCGUGGGUAACCUGCCUCACACUGGGGGAUAACAGUUAGAAAUAGCUGCUAAUACCGCAUAAGCGCACGGUUCCGCAUGGAACAGUGUGAAAAACUCCGGUGGUGUGAGAUGGAUCCGCGUCUGAUUAGCCAGUUGGCGGGGUAACGGCCCACCAAAGCGACGAUCAGUAGCCGGCCUGAGAGGUUUUCCCCCACACUGGUACUGAGACACGGACCAGACUCC
rnacentral:rRNA from 1 species